AGUGAACGCUGGCGGUAGGCCUAACACAUGCAAGUCGAACGGCAGCACAGUAAGAGCUUGCUCUUACGGGUGGCGAGUGGCGGGCGGGUGAGGAAUACAUCGGAAUCUACUUUUUCGUGGAGGAUAACGUAGGGAAACUUACGCUAAUACAGCAUACGACCUACGGGUGGAAGCAGUGGAUCUUCGGACCUUUCGCGAUUGAAUGAGCCGAUGUCGGAUUAGCUAGUUGGCGGGGUAAAGGCCCACCAAGGCGACGAUCCGUAGCUGAUCUGAGAGGAUGAUCGGCCACACUGGAACUGAGACACGGUCCAGACUCCUACGGGAGGCAGCAGUGGGGAAUAUUCGACAAAGGGCGAAAGCCUGACGCAGCAAUGCCGCGUGGGUGAAGAAGGCCUUCGGGUUGUAAAGCCCUUUUGUUGGGAAAGAAAAGCAGUAGGUGUAAACCCCGCCGUUUUGACGGUACCCAAAGAAAAAGCAACGGCUAACUUCGUG
rnacentral:rRNA from 1 species